rnacentral:lncRNA from 1 species
UCUCAUUUUUCCCGGGCUUUCGGUCGGCGUUUUCCUUUUCUCGCGGGUUUGGGCGCGCAUCGAACUCUGAAGGGUCGGGAAGGCCUGUCGUUGGAAUGUGGUUGAGUUCCAGGGAGUGUACAGGCUGGAGGAUGGGACAAGACCUAUCUCUGUAUCGAUCAAGCACGGCGUUGGUGUUCCAGCUCAUCACCAAUCCUAAGGAAUUCAAGUGCCUCCCAGGAUGAAUACAGGUUGUCUUGAUGGUGAUACAUUCAUCUGUCUUAAGAUCCCUGCUGAUCUGCUCAUGGUCAAACUCCUGGAAAGAGUUGAGAGUGGUGAGUACUUGUAACCUUGGUUGUAACUUGUCUCCAGUGCCAGUGAGGAGAGCAAGCAUCCUGUCUUAACCCCUGUCCUAGCCCCAGAGCCAGAAAUGGUGAACCCACUGGGGCUAACAGGGAGAGAGGAUGAAAACAUGUUUCGUAAGGAACUGUCUGAGGUACAGCAACUGCCAAUGGGUAGCAUUCGUUUAGCUUCCCUUGGCUUACAUAUUAGCUGGGAUCCUUUUGGUUUUUUAAGGUACUCUACUGAUUUCAUGAUCUUCUCAUUCAGGGGUACCUUGUUCCUGCAUCCUCAAAGGAGCAUCUUGUUCCUCCAUUUAAGCUUCCAGAGUUAAAAGGUUAGUUGAUUAAUGUCACCAUAAUAUAUGCCACCAAGUAAGCAGUUUCUGUGAUGAAUCAAACUAGCUCACUAUGAACUAACAAUGAAAAGAUAUGAACACCUGAGAAACUGGAGAACAGAGCAGUGGGAUACUGUCUGCUAGGAACUUAAUAUCACUUACAGUUUUGUCCUUUCCUAGGUACCUGUACCAUUUAGCGGCUUGUUCACUCAAAGGUGAGUGAUUUAUAUGUUGGUGCAUACCGUGUACUGAGGGAGAAAAUGCCUUUUUAGGCAUCUACACAUGAUGACUUACAUGGAAUCUCGUUCGGCUGAUGAUUUGCUGUUGAGACUCGGAAAUCUGAAUUUUUUUUUCUUUUAAGAACUUAAGUGGGAACAAAUUUUAAUGUAGGAAGUAAGCAUUACUGACUCAUUCUUGUUUUGUUUUAGAUCCAUCUUUUCUGGAGCCUGAGGAUGAUUGGAGGUGAAAGGUGUAAGCCAUACUCUGCUCAACUCCAGUCUGAAACUAAGGUUAAAAGAACACGUACUUAACACACGGGUAAGUAAGUAUCCAUUCACGUACUUGUGUUAAAUAUCAGACUAACUAUAUAAAUACAAUGUUCUAAGUCCGUUUUAGUAAGAACCCUAAACUGUUCUUUUUCUCUGCAGGAAUCCAACUCUUGGAGGACAUCAGAAGUGGAAUUUUCUUAUACAACCUACCUAUUCAAAUUAGCAUAUAAUCUUUCUAGCCUUUCUAAAUAAAUAAAGGGAUUUUUUUGUA